rnacentral:rRNA from 1 species
UACGGAGGGUGCAAGCGUUAUCCGGAUUCACUGGGUUUAAAGGGUGCGUAGGUGGGCAGGUAAGUCAGUGGUGAAAUCUCCGGGCUUAACCCGGAAACUGCCGUUGAUACUAUCUGUCUUGAAUAGAGUGGAGGUGAGCGGAAUAUGUCAUGUAGCGGUGAAAUGCUUAGAUAUGACAUAGAACAUCGAUUGCGAAGGCAGCUCGCUACGCUCUUAUUGACACUGAGGCACGAAAGCGUGGGGAUCAAACAGG